rnacentral:rRNA from 1 species
GAUGAACGCUGGCGGCGUGCCUAAUACAUGCAAGUCGAACGAAACUUCUUUAUCACCGAGUGCUUGCACUCACCGAUAAAGAGUUGAGUGGCGAACGGGUGAGUAACACGUGGGCAACCUGCCCAAAAGAGGGGGAUAACACUUGGAAACAGGUGCUAAUACCGCAUAACCAUAGUUACCGCAUGGUAUCUAUGUAAAAGGUGGCUAUACUACCGCUUUUGGAUGGGCCCGCGGCGCAUUAGCUAGUUGGUAGGGUAAAGGCUUACCAAGGCAAUGAUGCGUAGCCGAAUUGAGAGGUUGAUCGGCCACAUUGGGACUGAGACACGGCCCAAACUCCUACGGGAGGCAGCAGUAGGGAAUCUUCCACAAUGGGCGAAAGCCUGAUGGAGCAACGCCGCGUGGGUGAAGAAGGUCUUCGGAUCGUAAAACCCUGUUGUUAGAGAAGAAAGUGCGUGAGAGUAACUGUUCACGUUUCGACGGUAUCUAACCAGAAAGCCACGGCUAACUACGUG